rnacentral:rRNA from 1 species
UUUCUGCCCUAUCAACUUUCGAUGGUAGGAUAGUGGCCUACCAUGGUGGCAACGGGUAACGGGGAAUUAGGGUUCGAUUCCGGAGAGGGAGCCUGAGAAACGGCUACCACAUCCAAGGAAGGCAGCAGGCGCGCAAAUUACCCAAUCCCGAUACGGGGAGGUAGUGACAAUAAAUACUGAUACGGGGCUCUUUUGGGUCUCGUAAUUGGAAUGAGAACAAUUUAAAUCCCUUAACGAGGAACAAUUGGAGGGCAAGUCUGGUGCCAGCAGCCGCGGUAAUUCCAGCUCCAAUAGCGUAUAUUAAAGUUGUUGCAGUUAAAAAGCUCGUAGUUGAACCUUGGGUCUGGCUGGCCGGUCCGCCUCACCGCGAGUACUGGUCCGGCUGGACCUUUCCUUCUGGGGAACCCCAUGGCCUUCACUGGCUGUGGGGGGAACCAGGACUUUUACUGUGAAAAAAUUAGAGUGUUCAAAGCAGGCCUUUGCUCGAAUACAUUAGCAUGGAAUAAUAGAAUAGGACGUGCG